AACGAACGCUGGCGGCAUGCCUAACACAUGCAAGUCGAACGAGACCUUCGGGUCUAGUGGCGCACGUGUGCGUAACGCGUGGGAACCUGCCCUUAGGUUCGGAAUACCUCCCCGAAAGGGGUGUUAAUACCGGAUAAUGUCUUCGGACCAAAGAUUUAUGGCCUUGGGAUGGGCCCGCGUUGGAUUAGCGAGUUGGUAGGGUAAAAGCCUAACAAGGCGACGAUCCAUAGCUGGUCUGAGAGGAUGAUCAUCCACACUGGGACUGAGACACGGCCCAGACUCCUACGGGAGGGAGCAGAGGGGAAUAUUGGGCAAUGGGCGAAAGCGUGAUACAGCAAUGCGGCGUGAGUGAUGAAGGCCUUAGGAUUGUAAAGCUGUUUUAGCCGGGAUGAUAAUGACAGUACCGGGAGAAUAAGCUCCGGCUAACUCCGUG
rnacentral:rRNA from 1 species